rnacentral:misc_RNA from 1 species
GAUGAAGAACGUAGCGAAAUGCGAUACGUAAUGUGAAUUGCAGAAUUCAGUGAAUCAUCGAAUCUUUGAACGCACAUUGCGCCCGCCAGUAUUCUGGCGGGCAUGCCUGUCCGAGCGUCAUUUCAACCCUCGAACCCCUCCGGGGGGUCGGCGUUGGGGACCUCGGGAGCCCCUAAGACGGGAUCCCGGCCCCGAAAUACAGUGGCGGUCUCGCCGCAGCCUCUCCUGCGCAGUAGUUUGCACAACUCGCACCGGGAGCGCGGCGCGUCCACGUCCGUAAAACACCCAACUUCUGAAAUGUUGACCUCGGAUCAGGUAGGAAUACCCGCUGAACUUAAGCAUAUCAAUAAGCGGAGGA